UGAUGGGAGCUUGCUCCUGGAUUAGUGGCGAACGGGUGAGUAACACGUGAGUAACCUGCCCUUAACUCUGGGAUAAGCCUGGGAAACUGGGUCUAAUACCGGAUAUGACUCCUCAUCGCAUGGUGGGGGGUGGAAAGCUUUAUUGUGGUUUUGGAUGGACCCGCGGCCUAUCAGCUUGUUGCUGAGGUAAUGGCUUACCAAGGCGACGACGGGUAGCCGGCCUGAGAGGGUGACCGGCCACACUGGGACUGAGACACGGCCCAGACUCCUACGGGAGGCAGCAGUGGGGAAUAUUGCACAAUGGGCGCAAGCCUGAUGCAGCGACGCCGCGUGAGGGAUGACGGCCUUCGGGUUGUAAACCUCUUUCAGUAGGGAAGAAGCGAAAGUGACGGUACCUGCAGAAGAAGCGCCGGCUAACUACGUGCCAGCAGCCGCGGUAAUACGUAGGGCGCAAGCGUUAUCCGGAAUUAUUGGGCGUAAAGAGCUCGUAGGCGGUUCUGUCGCGUCUGCCGUGAAAGUCCGGGGCUCAACUCCGGAUCUGCGGUGGGUACGGGCAGACUAGAGUGAUGUAGGGGAGACUGGAAUUCCUGGUGUAGCGGUGAAAUGCGCAGAUAUCAGGAG
rnacentral:rRNA from 1 species